AUUGAACGCUGGCGGCAGGCCUAACACAUGCCAGUCGAGCGGAUGAAGGGAGCUUGCUCCUGGAUUCAGCGGCGGACGGGUGAGUAAUGCCUAGGAAUCUGCCUGGUAGUGGGGGAUAACGUCCGGAAACGGGCGCUAAUACCGCAUACGUCCUGAGGGAGAAAGUGGGGGAUCUUCGGACCUCACGCUAUCAGAUGAGCCUAGGUCGGAUUAGCUAGUUGGUGGGGUAAAGGCCUACCAAGGCGACGAUCCGUAACUGGUCUGAGAGGAUGAGCAGUCACACUGGAACUGAGACACGGUCCAGACUCCUACGGGAGGCAGCAGUGGGGAAUAUUGGACGAUGGGCGAAAGCCUGAUCCAGCCAUGCCGCGUGUGUGAAGAAGGUCUUCGGAUUGGAAAGCACUUUAAGUUGGGAGGAAGGGCAGUAAGUUAAUACCUUGCUGUUUUGACGUUACCAACAGAAUAAGCACCGGCUAACUUCGUG
rnacentral:rRNA from 1 species